rnacentral:lncRNA from 1 species
AUUUUCCUAGGUUUAUUGGAAGCAUGAACAGUGGGAUUGACAUUGAGACUACUACGAUAUGACAAAAGGCUGAAGACCAAGACCAAGAGCUUUCGGCACCAUGCAUGGGAGGCCCAAUCUGGGGGACACAAAAUAUUGCUGUCUGUGAGGUGUUGGGUUCCUUUCAUUUCAUACCUGCAUCGUCAAACCUGCUCAGCACUUGCAAAUUGCAA